rnacentral:rRNA from 1 species
UACGGAGGGUGCAAGCGUUAUCCGGAUUCACUGGGUUUAAAGGGUGCGUAGGCGGGUAAGUAAGUCAGUGGUGAAAUCUCCGGGCUUAACUCGGAAACUGCCGUUGAUACUAUUUAUCUUGAAUAUCAUGGAGGUAAGCGGAAUAUGUCAUGUAGCGGUGAAAUGCUUAGAUAUGACAUAGAACACCGAUAGCGAAGGCAGCUUACUACAUGUUAAUUGACGCCGAGGCACGAAAGCGUGGGGAGCAAACAGG